UACGUAGGUGGCAAGCGUUGUCCGGAAUUAUUGGGCGUAAAGCGCGCGCAGGCGGUCCUUUAAGUCUGAUGUGAAAGCCCACGGCUCAACCGUGGAGGGUCAUGGGAAACUGGGGGACUUGAGUACAGAAGAGAAGAGUGGAAUUCCACGUGUAGCGGUGAAAUGCGUAGAGAUGUGGAGGAACACCAGUGGCGAAGGCGACUCUUUGGUCUGUAACUGACACUGAGGCGCGAAAGCGUGGGGAGCAAACAGG
rnacentral:rRNA from 1 species